ACGAACGCUGGCGGCGCGCCUAACACAUGCAAGUCGAACGGAGCUGAGAGGAGCUUGCUUUUCUUAGCUUAGUGGCGAACGGGUGAGUAACGCGUGAGUAACCUGCCCUGGAGUGGGGGACAACAGUUGGAAACGACUGCUAAUACCGCAUAAGCCCACGGAUUCGCAUGGAUCUGCGGGAAAAGGAUUUAUUCGCUCUAGGAUGGACUCGCGUCCAAUUAGCUAGUUGGUGAGGUAACGGCCCACCAAGGCGACGAUUGGUAGCCGGACUGAGAGGUUGAACGGCCACAUUGGGACUGAGACACGGCCCAGACUCCUACGGGAGGCAGCAGUGGGGGAUAUUGCACAAUGGGGGAAACCCUGAUGCAGCGACGCCGCGUGGAGGAAGAAGGUUUUCGGAUUGUAAACUCCUGUCGUUAGGGACGAUAAUGACGGUACCUAACAAGAAAGCACCGGCUAACUACGUGCCAGCAGCCGCGGUAAAACGUAGGGUGCAAGCGUUGUCCGGAAUUACUGGGUGUAAAGGGAGCGCAGGCGGACCGGCAAGUUGGGAGUGAAAUCCAUGGGCUCAACCCGUGAAUUGCUUUCAAAACUGCUGGCCUUGAGUAGUGCAGAGGUAGGUGGAAUUCCCGGUGUAGCGGUGGAAUGCGUAGAUAUCGGGAGGAACACCAGUGGCGAAGGCGACCUACUGGGCACCAACUGACGCUGAGGCUCGAAAGCAUGGGUAGCAAACAGGAUUAGAUACCCUGGUAGUCCAUGCCGUAAACGAUGAUUACUAGGUGUUGGAGGAUUGACCCCUUCAGUGCCGCAGUUAACACAAUAAGUAAUCCACCUGGGGAGUACGACCGCAAGGUUGAAACUCAAAGGAAUUGACGGGGGCCCGCACAAGCAGUGGAGUAUGUGGUUUAAUUCGAAGCAACGCGAAGAACCUUACCAGGUCUUGACAUCCGAUGCAUAGUGCAGAGAUGCAUGAAGUCCUUCGGGACAUCGAGACAGGUGGUGCAUGGUUGUCGUCAGCUCGUGUCGUGAGAUGUUGGGUUAAGUCCCGCAACGAGCGCAACCCUUAUUGCCAGUUACUACGUAAGAGGACUCUGGCGAGACUGCCGUUGACAAAACGGAGGAAGGUGGGGAUGACGUCAAAUCAUCAUGCCCCUUAUGAUCUGGGCUACACACGUGCUACAAUGGUUGGUACAAAGAGAAGCGAAGCGGUGACGUGGAGCAAACCUCAUAAAGCCAAUCUCAGUUCGGAUUGUAGGCUGCAACUCGCCUACAUGAAGUUGGAAUCGCUAGUAAUCGCGAAUCAGAAUGUCGCGGUGAAUACGUUCCCGGGCCUUGUACACACCGCCCGUCACACCAUGAGAGUUGGGGAUACCCGAAGCCUGUGAGCCAACAGUUAAAUGGGGCAGCAGUCGAAGGUAGAAUCAAUGAUUGGGGUG
rnacentral:rRNA from 1 species